UAUUUUAUUUUAAAUCUUGCUUUGGAGUUAAUAAUAAAUAUAACUAGCAUAGUCUCUGUGGGAUCGAUCCUUACUCAUUCUGUACUAAUUAUUUAUAUUAGUGGUAAGGUUUUAAAUUUGGUGCACCUUAACGACACUACCAGCUACAAGUAACUACAUAAAAAACCUCUCUAAAAUAUGUGAACAAGCACUUUCUCAUUAGACAUUAUAGUGAUAUAACCUAAAGCUUUUUUUUUUUUUAAUGUUUACUCAACUCGCAAAGGCAAAGUUUAUAUGGAUUUACCUCGAAUCAAAACGAUUUCUCCUUUCUUUUCGGAACUACGAGAUUUCUUCUCUUAUAAGAUUUCUAAGGUUCUCCCCAAUAUGAGAUAGGUUGCAACUAUAAUCAGAACUUCAACUAGGCCAAUUGCCUAAUUCUGACUUGAGUUUAGCGAACGAUACAACAGAGAUGUCGUAGGGCAAAGCCCAUAAGAUACGAAGCGAGAUGGGGCUGAAGUCCUUAGUAUGUCUGUCUUGCUUGCCAUAAACCAUAAAACACUUAGCGAACUCGCAAGCUCCACGAUGAGAUAUGAGGGACUUCUCAUAAAUAAAUGGUCAUAUCACAUUCAUUCCGCCAUGAUUUCUAGGUACGACUGGGCUACAGCCGAAUCAGCGAUAACAGUAUCAUCGCCUAAGAUCGUGCAAUCCCAUAAACCUUUCCCAGGAUAAAGCCCUUUCGUGACAAGCGUUGUGCAAAUUUUAUUGAACUCGCAAGCGCACGAAUCUAUUGUAGAAUAGAUUAAUGGUGACGAGUGUCGAUCCCACG
rnacentral:lncRNA from 1 species